CACGCUGUAAACGUUGGGCGCUAGGUGUCGGGGACCUUCCACGUCCUCGGUGCCCCAGCUAACGCAUUAAGCGCCCCGCCUGGGGAGUACGGCCGCAAGGCUAAAACUCAAAGGAAUUGACGGGGGCCCCCACAAGCGGCGGAGCAUGUGGCUUAAUUCGACGCAACGCGAACAACCUUACCUGGGUUUGACAUGCAGGGAAAUCCCAUACAGAUACGGGGUACUUGUCGCCGGCGCCCCCCUAUGAGUCCCCCUUGUUCACGCUGGCAACAUAGGACAGGGGU
rnacentral:rRNA from 1 species